rnacentral:lncRNA from 1 species
AGUAAGGCUGCACGACUGCUCGACAAUAAUUACCCAAAUUAGUCUCUGGCAGUGGUUCUCUCGACAAUAUCUUGUCGCCGCCUUGUCUCCCUGCCUUGCCGCCGCCGCUACCUCGUCGCUACCUUGCCACUGGUCUCGAAAUUGAAACUCUUUUCUCUGAAAUUGAAGUUGUCCUCUCUCAAAUUGAAACUCUCAGCUCUCAAAUUGUCGCUGGUAUGUUAUACCGUAAAUUUCUGUAAUAGCUUGUUAUAGAAAACUUAUCUAUAUUUCUCACAAAUUGUAACUUCUAGUUAAUUUCUCUUCUUUUUCUCAAUUUGGAACCGUAAUUUCUUCUUUGUUCUUUUCCUCUUUGUUUG